GUCAGCUAUGUGGACUCUAGCUGCCAAAGACGCUUCUCCUUUUGAACAGAGCGCUUUGCUCAGCCAGUGUAGACAUGGCCUGAU
ensembl:miRNA Mir1251 microRNA 1251